UACGAAGGGGGCUAGCGUUAAUCGGAAUUACUGGGCGUAAAGCGUGCGUAGACGGUUAUUUAAGUCGGGUGUGAAAGCCCCGGGCUCAACCUGGGAAUUGCAUUCGAGACUGAAUAGCUAGGGUACGGUAGAGGGAAGCGGAAUUUCCGGUGUAGCGGUGAAAUGCGUAGAUAUCAGAAGGAAACAUCAGUGGCGAAAAGCGGCUUCCUGGUCCAGU
rnacentral:rRNA from 1 species